UUGGACUGUCGCCCAGUGUCGGUGCCCGGCGGUGGAUUCACUCGUUGAUUAGUCAGUGUUGUCACGGACGUGAAGGCUUUGCCUUUGCCUUUGGCUUUGGAGCUGGUCGGAGAUAGUUUUUUUUAGUUUUCUGUCUAACUGUAAUCGACCAGUCUGAUAAGAGUGGUAGUCGUUGAUCUGCUGGCCCCCGCAGAGUUAGGAACUCAUUUCGUUGCACGCUAGCUCAUUGACUUCUAGAACCAGUUGAACAAUCGCCAAGUAGAAGCCCAGCCACUGUUUGAAACUUUGAACGCGUACUUUGUAAGUGUAACUAACGUUCCUUGCGCAGACCAUCGCUCACCAAUACUUCAGGCAUUAGUCCGACUGUCCGUAUACGAGUUGAGCGGACACUGCGAGUCUUUUGGACAGUGCUAGCGGAUCAAAUCGAACUAACUACCUUGAAUGAAGUUUAGUCUUCUACAUGUCCUGGAGUAGAUUCUAGACUCGUUGUUCUUCCUCCACACGCUGUGAAAGUUGAUUACCUGUAUCAGUAUACUGCAGUGUUGAGUGGAGACGAGUGUGAAGACUCGACAGCGGACUUGUGAACAUCACGCAGAGCCCUGACUCUACUUUGCAAAAUUGCAAGCAGAGAACUGCGGAUGAGCAGUGACGGCGAAAAGUCACCAAGUCGUCGCCAGUUUCAAUCCCGGAUCAAGACUCAACACACGCUGGUGUGAGUUAGCACACACCCGUACCCUUCACUUCAGCUGACGCCGCAGUUCUGUUGGACCGACAGCAGGGUGGCCGACAAAAGCUACUGGACACUGGCGUACGCAUGCACAGUUAUUCUUCACUGUUGCCGAGGUGCUGGCUGUACUGCAGAGCAAUGGACGUAUUUCUGACGCCCAAGUAGACUCUGUCAAGCAAUUUGUCAGGGACAAUCAAUUUUUGGCGUACGUUCCUGUUCUGUUUUGCUGAUACCUGUACGCUGCUGCUGCUGGUUAUCUAGAGGUCACGUGAGUGAUGUCAUCACAUGUGCUUUUGUAUGGAGUGCAUGAUGUCAUCCCAUGUGCUUUGUAUGGAGGACAUGCUGUGGAAACCAGUGCUGGUUUUGAAUUGAGUAGCGAACAGUUUAUAUUGAGAUUUGAACGGCAAACAGUUUGUAUUAAGUGGCAAACGGAACAAACAGUGUUACGAAAGUAGCAGCCAUGUCACUGUGGCUAAGCAGCAACAUCGCACUGCUGUUUCCAAACACAGUGUCCUCCACCUUGUUUCUUGCUGUCAAGCUAACAACAA